rnacentral:rRNA from 1 species
GACGAACGCUGGCGGCGUGCUUAACACAUGCAAGUCGAACGGAAAGGCCCUGCUUUUGUGGGGUGCUCGAGUGGCGAACGGAUGAGUAACACGUGAGUAACCUGCCCUUGACUUUGGGAUAACUUCAGGAAACUGGGGCUAAUACCGGAUAGGAGCUCCUGCUGCAUGGUGGGGGUUGGAAAGUUUCGGCGGUUGGGGAUGGACUCGCGGCUUAUCAGCUUGUUGGUGGGGUAGUGGCUUACCAAGGCUUUGACGGGUAGCCGGCCUGAGAGGGUGACCGGCAAAGUUGGGACUGAGAUAGGGCCCAGACUCCUACGGGAGGAAGAAGUGGGGAAUAGUGGAAAAUGGGCGGAAGCCUGAUGGAGCAACGCCGCGGGCGGGAGGACGGCCUUGGGGUUGUAAACGGCUUUGGCCUGUGACGAAGCGUGAGUGACGGUAAUGGGUAAAGAGGCAGGGGCUAGGUAGGUG